UACGGGAGGGGCAAGCGUUGUUCGGAAUUACUGGGCGUAAAGGGCUCGUAGGCGGCCAACUAAGUCAGACGUGAAAUCCCUCGGCUUAACCGGGGAACUGCAUCUGAUACUGGAUGGCUUGAGUUCGGGAGAGGGAUGUGGAAUUCCAGGUGUAGCGGUGAAAUGCGUAGAUAUCUGGAGGAACACCGGUGGCGAAGGCGGCAUCCUGGACCGACACUGACGCUGAGGAGCGAAAGCCAGGGGAGCAAACGGG
rnacentral:rRNA from 1 species